UCCCUUUAUUAUUUAUGAGCAAAGCGAGCAAUGAUGUAGGACACAACAAUUCAGAAACCAAAUAUCUCAUUCCAUCCGAGAUCCGAUACACGCAAGAUACUAUUUCUAACAAUUUCAACAAUGGAAAUAGGGUUAAAGACGUUCUUGAUGAGAUUUUAAACAAUAGGACAAGGGCAACAGACCUCCCAAAGAUCAAGGUUGGUAAAUACAAUAAACACUGGUGGUCCCUAGACAAUCGCAGACUUUGGAUUUUUCAAGAAUUGGAGAAACGUGACCUUCUUCAUAAGAUAAAUGUAGAGAUCAUCCAAGAUAUAGACCCAACCACAUUUACAACGAAGAACAAGGGAACAUCUAUCGAAUUUUCAAAUAGAAGGGAAAAGAAACGAAAAAACAAUAAAAAUAAAUAACGCCAACCACACCAUCCAGGAAGACAUUAGGAAGACCACUUUAAACAUAUUAUCAAGUUAAUUCUAAAGCCAACCGCACCAAAAAACUGAUUCCAGGAAGACAUUAGGAAGACCACUUUAAACAUAUUAUCAAGUUACAUUUAAACCCAACCACACCAAAAACUGAUUCCAGGAAGACAUUAGGAAGACCACUUUAAACAUAUUUUCAAGUUAAUUCUAAAUCCAACCACACCAUCUACAUAAUUUUGGUAUUUAACAUUGUAAAUCAAUAAUGAGCCAACCGAAGCAGAAUACAAGAUUUCAGAGGACACCAGGCAGAUUCAGUAUAUUCGUGUUCCUAUGUCAUUGAUGAUUUUAGUACUGUUUCGAAUUCAUUGAAGGAAAAAAGGUAAUAAUGAAAUAACUGUUUAUAAGUUUAAUUUAUUUUAUCAAUGUAUGAUUACAAAAAUAUAAUUAUCUUCAUUAAAAUAAUUUAAUUGGAAUUCAAUGUAUUUUUUUUAACUUUUGCAAUGUUUUAUGUUAAUUGCUUCCAUUUAUUUGUACAAUGCAUCAAUGAUAAUUAAUCAAUGUUUGUUUUAGAAAGAGUUUUAUGACUACAAUUUAAA